CGGGACGGGUGAGUAAUGUCUGGGAAACUGCCUGAUGGAGGGGGGUAACUACUGGAAACGGUAGCUAAUACCGCAUAACGUCGCAAGACCAAAGAGGGGGACCUUCGGGCCUCUUGCCAUCGGAUGUGCCCAGAUGGGAUUAGCUAGUAGGUGGGGUAACGGCUCACCUAGGCGACGAUCCCUAGCUGGCCUGAGAGGAUGACCAGCCACACUGGAACUGAGACACGGUCCAG
rnacentral:rRNA from 1 species